GUAAAAGUAGCUCAGCUUCAGAGCACCGGCCUUGUAACCCGGAUGCGGGGGUUAAAGUCCCCCCUUUUACU
rnacentral:tRNA from 1 species